UACGUAGGGUGCGAGCGUUGUCCGGAAUUAUUGGGCGUAAAGAGCUUGUAGGCGGUUUGUCGCGUCUGCCGUGAAAAUUCGAGGCUCAACCUCGAACUUGCGGUGGGUACGGGCAGACUAGAGUGUGGUAGGGGAGACUGGAAUUCCUGGUGUAGCGGUGAAAUACGCAGAUAUCAGGAGGAACACCGAUGGCGAAGGCAGGUCUCUGGGCCACUACUGACGCUGAGAAGCGAAAGCAUGGGGAGCGAACAGG
rnacentral:rRNA from 1 species